UUAACUAACUAGGUAUGUCAGCAACUGAGUGAUACGCAUCAUGCCUACGUCAUCCGCCAAGGAUUUGUUAUCAGUAUGAAAUAAUUGCUUAUCAACAACACACAAUAUUGUAAAUUGUACUAUUUGUAGUAAUACAAAAUAAAUAAUUUACACUUUUGACUUAACAAUUUAUUAUUUCACUUAAUUAAUACAUAAUGUAUUACCUAACACUAUUUACGUCUUGCUCUGAAAAAAAUUAUAGAAUGUACCAAUAAAUAAAAAUAGCAAUUUAUGCGAGAAAAUAUUGAGGAUUCCCAAAGAUCUGUGCUAACUGCUAAUGAAAAAAUAACUUUGUCCAUCAGUUGUCUAUUCAUACUAUUUAACCGUAUGAAUGUCCUCGUACGUACCAUACAUUCUAAGACUUCUACUGGAAUCUCAAUUAUAUAAUAAUGUAUACAUUCAAAUCAAAGAAGUAGAAAAUAUCUAUGUUUUUAAUUAUCGAUUCAACAACAUAACUAUACUACAAUAUCUGUUUUUGCUCUGUGGGACCAGUACUACUUCUUUCCCCUCAAUAUAAUUGUGUAUACAAUUUAGCAUAGAAUAUAGAAUUUUAGAAUUUAGAAUUAUACAAUUGUAUUACAAACAUUACAAACCUUGUUUCUAGAGAAUAUGUAGUCUUACUAGAAUUAUCAUAAGAUAAUUUAUUUAAUUUUAACGUAGGAACAGCAUCACUUUUUAAUUUUCUUUUAUGCACUGGUGAAUAGUUUAAAAGUGAUUCAAUUAAUGGCUUGCAAUAUGCAUCAGCAUCAAAAUGCAAUGAACAAAUAUAGGCUAAAAUGUUAAUUUUCAUAUUGUAUUCAAAAUAAAAUCAUACUAUUGACAAUCACAUUUUCCUUACCGUUUUUAGUGUUUAGAUUUUUCCUAUUACAAACACUACUCCAUUUUUGUUGGUAAAAAGGAUUUUUAGGAAAUCUAUGAAACCUUAUAUCAGCUGUAUUGCAAUCAACAUAUUUCUUACUUUUGCUUCCACUCUUACACUCAUUUAUUGCACACCAAGACAUUAUACAAUUAUAUUUAUUCAGGUUAUUAAAAACACAAAACCAAUAAA